CAUUUUUCUUAAAACGGAUUUUAAUUGAAAUUUGUAAUGUUUUAUAGCUUAAUCAACUUCUGAUGCAGAAGACGAAGAUAACAUUGUUCAAACUAAAAACAUAACCGAGAAAAAACGUCAACAUUCAAGCGAAUCAAGUUGUGAAGAAAAUGAUUGUGUCAAAAAUUAUGAAACACGUUCAAAGUCUUAUGGCACUCAGAUUUAAGAAAACAAUUCUCUUGAUUAUUUGGAAAACGAACAAGAAAACAA